rnacentral:lncRNA from 1 species
AAAGUUGUCUUCUGACUAUAAUAAAAACAACAACAAAAAGGAUAUUACAUAGCGACUGAAAGAAGACACGAGUCAUUGUGUUGGAGGGGUGUGAAUUAUUUUAAAUAAUUCAUAUGAAAUAAUACAGAGAGACUUCGAAAUCAGAUUGAGCAUGUUGCAGCACACUCCACUGAUCCUUUGAAAUGACUUCUUUCCGUGUCUUUUUAAGCCUGUUAAAUCCUUUCACAGAAUUGUGAGAGGUUGUCUGGAAAACGGAAAAUGUUCGAGAUGAGUUAAAGGACCCUGGGGACCAGAAUCUGAAGUGGAGAGACACCCAGAAGAAAGAUAUUUGGAGUUGAUGAAUUCUGAUGGUGGUACACCUGAUCCCCAAAGCUACAGUCUUUCCAUUCCUUCCAGAGGCUUAGUAAUUUGCUUUUCUUUUGAUAUUUUGAGACACCUAGGUCCUUAUGAUAAAUUCCUUCAUUUGUGCAAGUUGGCUAGAGUGGGUUCCUGUGGCUGUUACACCCACUCUAGUAAAUUAUCUAAAUAGUCAGUUGAUAGCAUCCUCUGGUCCCUCU